AACGAACGCUGGCGGCAUGCCUAACACAUGCAAGUCGAGCGAGACCACCGGGUCUAGUGGCGCACGGGUGCGUAACGCGUGGGAACCUGCACUUAGGUUCGGAAUAACUACCCGAAAGGGGUGCUAAUACCGGAUAAUGUCUUAGGACCAAAGACUUAUCGACUUUGGAUGGGCAAGCGUUGGAUUAGCUAGUUGUUAGGGUAAAAGCCUACCAAGGCGACGAUCCAUAGCUUGUCUGAGAGGCUGAUCAGCAACACUGAGACUGGGACACGGCCCAGACUCCUCCGCAAGGCGGCAGUGCGUAAUAUUGCACAGUGGGCUGAAUGAUGAUCCAGCAAUGCCGGGUGAGUGAUGAAAGUCUUAGAGUUGUAAAGCGCAUGUACCCAUGAUCAUCAUGACAGUACCUAAAGAGAAAGCUCCGGCUAACUCCGUG
rnacentral:rRNA from 1 species